CCUACGGGAGGCAGCAGUGAGGAAUAUUGGUCAAUGGACGGAAGUCUGAACCAGCCAUGCCGCGUGCAGGAAGACGGCCCUAUGAGUUGUAAACUGCUUUUGUACAAGGGUAAAACUGUACACGUGUAGUCAGCUGAAAGUACUGUAUGAAUAAGGAUCGGCUAACUCCGUGCCAGCAGCCGCGGUAAUACGGAGGAUCCAAGCGUUAUCCGGAUUUAUUGGGUUUAAAGGGUGCGUAGGUGGAUUGAUAAGUUAGAUGUGAAAUGUCCGGGCUCAACUGGGAAAUUGCCUUUGAUACUGUUAGUCGUGAGGGUAGAUGAGGUAGGCGGAAUGUAUGGUGUAGCGGUGAAAUGCUUAGAGAUCAUACAGAACACCGAUUGCGAAGGCAGCUUACCAGACUAUAUCUGACGUUGAGGCUCGAAAGCGUGGGGAGCAAACAGGAUUAGAUACCCUAGUAGUC
rnacentral:rRNA from 1 species